UGGUGAAUUACAGGGCAAAUACUCCUUUGUCAGUCAGCCAUACUCUGCAUGCUCAUGGAGUAAGCUCACUGCCAAAGGAGAUUUGCUCAGCAAUUCUACU
rnacentral:pre_miRNA from 1 species